rnacentral:lncRNA from 1 species
ACCAUGAAGUAAACCAAGGUUCCUAUCUCCUUCCUCUCCUUCGCUAGACCCUUUCCCACUAACCACUUCAUUUCCCUAUUCUCAUGACUUCUUCCAACACCUUUGCCUCUUCCUGCUCAUCCUUUUCCAUGAAUAGAACAGUCAUUCUGCCUGUAGAAGUUUUGGGGGAUUGAAAGUGGUAUCUGUGUAUUCUAGAGCUUGCCCUUCAUGGCUCAUUAUUUAAUACCUUGAGUUUCAGCAUUUUGAUCUAGAAAUGAGAAACUGGUCUUUCCCUCUCCUUCGAUCUGAAGUUCUUAUGAGGCUCCAAUGAAAUAACUGUGUGUUGUUUUCUGACACUCUAGUGCAUAGGAGGGCAGUGCCAGGAUGUCUGGAAGCACCAGUAAAAGGAUCUUAGGAUCUUACUGCCUAUCUCCUAUGCUGUGUUGAAACUGAGCACUCAUCUACCUGUUAUCCCUGCUCCACAGUGACAUGUCUUGCCAAAGUGACAAAUGGAAACCAUCUUCCUAUAUAUCUCCGUGUUAAAAAAAUGGGUCAUAGCUAAUUCUCACAAGGAUGAGGAAGCAGUCUAGGCAAUAAAAAUUAUAUACUCACAGGUUCCAGAUUCAGUGCCUGGGCAUUCACAGUAGACUAGCACCAUCAGUGGCCUGUUAUAAUUAGGUUAGUGAAGAGGAUUGGAACUUCCAGGUACUUGAGAAAGAUCACCAUGUUUUAAAGUUAGGAGAAAUUCUAACGCAUACCCUAAACCCAGCAAGAUUACAUAAAAGAAUUCUAAAGCUGCCUUUUCCCCAGACACUGCUCUUGUUAUCUCCCCUGACCCUGAAUAGAUACAGGAAAUAUUGGAAACAGCUUGUUGAGAAAGGCUGGAUUGUAUUUCCUUCG